CGGGGUGUGGCGCAGUUUGGUAGCGCAUCUGGUUUGGGACCAGAGGGCCGCGGGUUCAAAUCCUGCCACCCCGACCA
rnacentral:tRNA from 1 species